GGGAGCUGCUUUCAGCCUGGGACACCAGGCACAGGAAUCAGGGUGUAAGCAUUUUGUGCUUUAUUUAUUUACUUAUGGACAUUUCCCACAGCUGCCUGAGAUGAGAGCACCCCUGAGGCUGCUCCUGGGCCAGGUCACUGUGCCCAGCCCAAAGUUCACUGCUGUGUACAAAGCUCCAGGUGCUCUCUGCUCUCUGCUCCAAGGAGAUCCUCUUCACAGCAGGAAGCCUGCCCAGGGUCAUCCUGUGAGACUUAGCUCUUCAGUGAAACCACAAAUCCAGAGGAGUAGGGGGAGUCCAGUUCAGGGAACAACAUCUGUUGGGACCAUUGAACAAAGGGUACCUGAAUUUUUCACCAUUCCAGUCGAUGCAACAAAGCAUUGUGUCUUGGAGAAAAGAGCCAAUUAUUUCUGUUUGGGAAAGCUCUCAAAGGAGCACAUCCUCUUGCCCCCAAGGCCAGGAUGAUCACCAGUGUCAGUGACCCAGGGCUCAGACACACUCCUGGUACCAGGUACAAGGAUGUCACCUCCUGUUGCCACCAUCCCUGUGGUUUUUCCCCUCUGUGACCCCAUCCCAGAGUGCAGGGUGCACCUCUGCUGCAGCUGAACAGCCACAUUUAUUGAAAACAUUUAGCAAGGCUGUGGUCCUGCUGUGACCCUCCAGCAACAGACUGGGAUUUAAAAACAAUUCUCCAGCAGCACCAGGCUGUGCCUGAGGAUCCAGCAGUCCUGAAACAUUUCCUGGCACUGGGAAAAGAGAAAAUUUGUUUGCCAUGUUAAAGUAACAGCUGAAAGAACCUGCAUUUUGUCAGGGCUUAUUUUCUCCCUCUCUCUGCCCUUUUCUACCUACCUGUUUUGGUUUUUUUUUAAUUUUGAAAUAAAGUUCUGAUUGUUAUGGAGUUUUCUGAAAGGCUCUGGAGAAAACAUAUAUGUUGAUUAAAGUUAAGAAAACUUUUGGAAAUAAAGGUUUUGAAAGUAGAAGUGGCGUUUAGGUCAGUGUUUAAAGACAUGCAGAAAGAAAAAAAAAAGACAAUAAAACAAUCCCAAAAUACAAAGACAUUGUUUUAAGGGCAAGUUUGAUCUCUGUAAGAAAAUUCUCCAGACUUAGUGAUUUCAUUUGAAAACAAGGAAAACCAGACCUUCUGUUUAGAAUAAUUAUAAAAAAGGUGGUUGAAUAUACAUUUAAAGCACUGUUCCAUAAUACUUUUAAGAUAUUAAGACUUUUAAAAGUCAUUUAUUGAAAUAGCCUGUACUUUUUUUCAGCACCUGACCUGAAGUUAAUUACAGUCAAAGGUGGAACUGCAGCAGUUCUACCAACCUCAGUUAAAAUGAGCAUUGGAAGGAAAGAAAAUUUCGGAUAGAAAAGAAAAAAUGUCUAAAUUGUAGCUAAGAGGAAAUUUUGGAACUUUGAGGUUCAGAAAUGCCUGCAUACCAGUACUUUAUUAUUGCCAGCAACAUUGGCACAGCUUAGGGGUAUGAGCCCCUUUUUAAAAGCAUAUUCCCUUCACAGUGGAUCUGAAAGCCUGUCAGGAAAAUCAACCCUUUUAGCAGCAUUUACAUCUGUACUCAGCCUUCAGUGUUGCUGGAUCUCUGUGGGAUUUAAACGUAUCCUUAAAUGCUGCCCUUGGAGACAUUUUCCUGAGAAACUCAUUUUCUGAAACACGGCCCCUAAAUGCAUGGAAAACCAGCAAGGCAUCUUUGUCUUCCCAUUUCCUGAACUUCAGCUCAAUUAUAAAAACACUGAUUUUUAAAAGUUCUUCCAAAGGAGCUCUUUUCUUGUCACCAUGUGUCACUCUGUCAGUCAUACUUCAAGCCAUGGAUUUGAAAACCGACCUGCAAAAGCAGCUGCCUUUGUCAGAGAUGUAACUUGACAGCUUCUCUGGGG